rnacentral:rRNA from 1 species
GGCGUAUAAGUUGUUACGAGCACACGGUGGAUGCCUUGGCAUCAGGAGCUGAUGAAGGACGUGGAAAUCUGCGAUAAGCCUCGGGGAGUUGAUAAACGAACUGUGAUCCGAGGGUCUCCGAAUGGGGUAACCCGGCUGCGUGUCAUGCGUGGUCACUCGUAUCUGAAUUCAUAGGGUGCGAGGAGGAACGUGGGGAAGUGAAACAUCUCAGUACCCAUAGGAAGAGAAAACAAUAGUGAUUCCGUGAGUAGUGGCGAGCGAAAGCGGAUGGUGGCUAAACCGGUUGUGUGUGAUACCUGGCGAGGGUUGCAUGAUCGGGGUUGUGGGAUGCGUUGUCCUGGGGUCGCCACCCUGGGCGUUGUGGCGUCGUGGUAGUCGAACUGGUGGUGAGUGCCAGACCGUAGGGGGUGUGAGUCCCGUAGACGAAACCAUGGUUGUCGUGGCGUGACGUUGUUCCCGAGUAGCACGGGGCCCGUGAAAUCUCGUGUGAAUCUGCCAGGACCACCUGGUAAGCCUGAAUACUUCCUGAUGACCGAUAGCGGAUCAGUACCGUGAGGGAAUGGUGAAAAGUACCCCGGGAGGGGAGUGAAAUAGUACCUGAAACCGUGUGCUUACAAGCCGUUGGAGCCUUUUGGGGUGACAGCGUGCCUUUUGAAGAAUGAGCCUGCGAGUUAGUGUUACGUCGCGAGAUUAACCCGUGUGGGGUAGUCGUAGCGAAAGCGAGUCUGAAUAGGGCGUUGUGAGUGGCGUGAUCUAGACCCGAAGCGGAGUGAUCUACCCAUGGCCAGGUUGAAGCGCGUGUAAGAGCGCGUGGAGGACCGAACCCACUUCAGUUGAAAAUGGAGGGGAUGAGCUGUGGGUAGGGGUGAAAGGCCAAUCAAACUCCGUGAUAGCUGGUUCUCCCCGAAAUGCAUUUAGGUGCAGCGUUGCGUGUGCUUGCUGGAGGUAGAGCUACUGGAUGGCUGAUGGGCCCUACAAGGUUACUGACGUCAACCAAACUCCGAAUGCCAGUCAAGUUGAGCGUGGCAGUGAGACUGUGGGGGAUAAGCUUCAUAGUCGAAAGGGAAACAGCCCAGACCAUCAACUAAGGCCCCUAAGCGUGUGCUAAGUGGGAAAGGAUGUGGAGUUGCUUAGACAACCAGGAGGUUGGCUUAGAAGCAGCCACCCUUGAAAGAGUGCGUAAUAGCUCACUGGUCAAGUGAUUCCGCGCCGAUAAUGUAGCGGGGCUCAAGUACACCGCCGAAGUUGUGGCAUGACACCGUUGAGCUGAGCCGUUUGUGGUUGAGGUGGUGUCAUGGGUAGGGGAGCGUCGUUGGGGUAGUGAAGCUGCGGGGUGACCCAGUGGUGGAACCUCAACGAGUGAGAAUGCAGGCAUGAGUAGCGAUAGACGGGUGAGAAACCCGUCCGCCGGAUGAUCAAGGGUUCCAGGGUCAAGCUAAUCUGCCCUGGGUGAGUCGGGACCUAAGGCGAGGCCGACAGGCGUAGUCGAUGGACAACGGGUUGAUAUUCCCGUACCGACGAAGAACCGACCCUACUGAACCGGGGAUACUAACCACCCGAACCACCAUCACCGCCGCCCUUCGGGGUGUGUGGGUUGUGUGGGGAGCGUGGGACCUGAUCCGGGGAGGUAAACGUGUUAACAGGUGUGACGCAGGAAGGUAGCCGAGCCAGGCGAUGGUUGUCCUGGUCUAAGCAUGUAGGGUGACCCGUUGGUAAAUCCGCGGGUUGUGUGCCUGAGAUGUGAUGGGACUCUCUUAAGUGAGGGAAUUCGGUGAUCCUAUGCUGCCAAGAAAAGCAUCGACGUGAGGUUCUAGUCGCCCGUACCCCAAACCGACACAGGUGAUCAGGUAGAGAAUACUAAGGCGUUCGAGAGAAUCAUGGUUAAGGAACUCGGCAAAAUGCCCCCGUAACUUCGGGAGAAGGGGGGCCUCUGCUGGUGAUCGACCUUUGCGUUGUGAGCUGGUGGGGGUCGCAGAGGCUAGGGGGAAGCGACUGUUUAUCAAAAACACAGGUCCGUGCGAAGUCGUAAGACGAUGUAUACGGACUGACUCCUGCCCGGUGCUGGAAGGUUAAGAGGACCUGUUAGACCCUUUCGGGUCGAAGCGGAGAAUUUAAGCCCCAGUAAACGGCGGUGGUAACUAUAACCAUCCUAAGGUAGCGAAAUUCCUUGUCGGGUAAGUUCCGACCUGCACGAAUGGAGUAACGACUUCCCUACUGUCUCAACCAUGAACUCGGCGAAAUUGCAGUACGAGUAAAGAUGCUCGUUUCGCGCAGCAGGACGGAAAGACCCCGAGACCUUUACUAUAGUUUGGUAUUGGUGUUCGGUGUGGCUUGUGUAGGAUAGGUGGGAGACUGUGAAGCCGUGACGCCAGUUACGGUGGAGUCGUUGUUGAAAUACCACUCUGGUCACUCUGGAUAUCUAACUUCGGCCCGUGAUCCGGGUCAGGGACAGUGCCUGAUGGGUAGUUUAACUGGGGCGGUUGCCUCCUAAAGAGUAACGGAGGCGCCCAAAGGUUCCCUCAGCCUGGUCGGCAAUCAGGUGUUGAGUGUAAGUGCACAAGGGAGCUUGACUGUGAGAGUGACAGCUCGAGCAGGGACGAAAGUCGGGACUAGUGAUCCGGCGGUACAUUGUGGAAUGGCCGUCGCUCAACGGAUAAAAGGUACCUCGGGGAUAACAGGCUGAUCUUGCCCAAGAGUCCAUAUCGACGGCAUGGUUUGGCACCUCGAUGUCGGCUCGUCGCAUCCUGGGGCUGGAGUUGGUCCCAAGGGUUGGGCUGUUCGCCCAUUAAAGCGGUACGCGAGCUGGGUUCAGAACGUCGUGAGACAGUUCGGUCCCUAUCCGCUGCGUGCGUUGGAAAUUUGUGGAGGCCUGUCCUUAGUACGAGAGGACCGGGACGGACGAACCUCUGGUAUGUCAGUUGUUCCGCCAGGAGCAUCGCUGAUUAGCUACGUUCGGGAUUGAUAACCGCUGAAAGCAUCUAAGCGGGAAGCUUGCUCCGAGAUGAGAUUUCCUAACCCCUUUUGUGGGGGUGUGAGGUGCCCAGUAGACGACUGGGUUGAUAGGCCAGGUGUGGAAGCGUUGUAAGGCGUGGAGCUGACUGGUACUAAUACACCGAAGACUUAUACAC